ACAACAUAUCCACAGCAAAAUCUAGCUGGUGUGUUUUUGUUAUAACUCUAGUUUCUUUUUUCCUAGUCAUUCUGUGUUGUUAUUGCAGCAUUAACUUGUGAAGCUUAAAGCUGUAGUGUGUAGGUUCUGCCGCCCCCAUGAAGUAUUCUAAGUACUAGCUGUAUUGUAAGUA